GUCCAGCUGACGAGUCCCAAAUGGGACGAAACGCGCAUCCUGGAC
rnacentral:hammerhead_ribozyme from 1 species